CAGUAGCCGCGGUAAUACGGAGGGAGCUAGCGUUGUUCGGAAUUACUGGGCGUAAAGCGCGCGUAGGCGGUUACUCAAGUCAGAGGUGAAAGCCCGGGGCUCAACCCCGGAACUGCCUUCGAAACUAGGUAACUAGAAUCUUGGAGAGGUCAGUGGAAUUCCGAGUGUAGAGGUGAAAUUCGUAGAUAUCCGGAAGAACACCAGUGGCGAAGGCGACUGACUGGACAAGUAUUGACGCUGAGGUGCGAAAGCGUGGGGAGCAAACAGGAUUAGAUACCCGCGUAGUCCCUGUCUCUUAUAC
rnacentral:rRNA from 1 species